AGCUAGAGUUUGAUCCUGGCUCAGGAUGAACGCUGGCGGCGUGCCUAACACAUGCAAGUCGAGCGGGGUUAUAUUAGAGCUUGCUUUAAUAUAACUUAGCGGCGGACGGGUGAGUAACGCGUGGGUAACCUGCCCUAUACACAGGGAUAACAUUGAGAAAUCAAUGCUAAUACCGGAUGAGCUAACUAAUAGGCAUCUAUUGGUUAGGAAAGCUGAGGCGGUAUAGGAGGGGCCUGCGUCUGAUUAGCUAGUUGGUGGGGUAAAGGCUUACCAAGGCGACGAUCAGUAGCCGACCUGAGAGGGUGAUCGGCCACAUUGGAACUGAGACACGGUCCAAACUCCUACGGGAGGCAGCAGUGGGGAAUAUUGCACAAUGGGGGGAACCCUGAUGCAGCAACGCCGCGUGAAGGAAGAAGUAUUUCGGUAUGUAAACUUCUAUCGACAGGGAAGAAAGAGAUGACGGUACCUGAAUAAGAAGCACCGGCUAAAUACGUGCCAGCAGCCGCGGUAA
rnacentral:rRNA from 1 species